UACGUAGGGCGCAAGCGUUAUCCGGAAUUAUUGGGCGUAAAGAGCUCGUAGGCGGUUUGUCGCGUCUGCCGUGAAAGUCCGGGGCUCAACUCCGGAUCUGCGGUGGGUACGGGCAGACUAGAGUGAUGUAGGGGAGACUGGAAUUCCUGGUGUAGCGGUGAAAUGCGCAGAUAUCAGUCGGAACACCGGUGGCGAAGGCGGCUUCUUGGGCCGUUACUGACGCUGAGGCGCGAAAGCCAGGGGAGCGAACGGG
rnacentral:rRNA from 1 species